rnacentral:rRNA from 1 species
GAUGAACGCUGGCGGCGUGCCUAAUACAUGCAAGUCGAGCGAACGGACGCGAAGCUUGCUUCUCUGACGUUAGCGGCGGACGGGUGAGUAACACGUGGAUAACCUACCUAUAAGACUGGGAUAACUUCGGGAAACCGGAUCUAAUACCGGAUAAUAUUUUGAACCGCAUGGUUCAAAAGUGAAAUACGGUCUUGCUGUCACUUAUAGAUGGAUCUGCGCUGCAUUAGCUAGUUGGUAAGGUAACGGCUUACGAAGGCAACGAUGCAUAGCCGACCUGAGAGGGUGAUCGGCCACACUGGAACUGAGCCACGGUCCAGACGCCUACGGGAGGCAGCAGUAGGGAAUCUUCCGCAAUGGGCGAGAGCCUGACGGAGCAACGCCGCGUGAGUGAUGAAGGUCUUCGGAUCGUAAAACUCUGUUAUUAGGGAAGAACAUAUGUGUAAGUAACUGUGCACAUCUUGACGGUACCUAGUCAGAAAGCCACGGCUAACUACGUG